rnacentral:rRNA from 1 species
GGAAAGGCGCGCGAUACAGGGUGACAGCCCCGUACACAAAAAUGCACAUGCUGUGAGCUCGAUGAGUAGGGCGGGACACGUGGUAUCCUGUCUGAAUAUGGGGGGACCAUCCUCCAAGGCUAAAUACUCCUGACUGACCGAUAGUGAACCAGUACCGUGAGGGAAAGGCGAAAAGAACCCCGGCGAGGGGAGUGAAAAAGAACCUGAAACCGUGUACGUACAAGCAGUGGGAGCACAGAGCAAUCUGUGUGACUGCGUACCUUUUGUAUAAUGGGUCAGCGACUUAUAUUCUGUAGCAAGGUUAACCGAAUAGGGGAGCCGAAGGGAAACCGAGUCUUAACUGGGCGUUAAGUUGCAGGGUAUAGACCCGAAACCCGGUGAUCUAGCCAUGGGCAGGUUGAAGGUUGGGUAACACUAACUGGAGGACCGAACCGACUAAUGUUGAAAAAUUAGCGGAUGACUUGUGGCUGGGGGUGAAAGGCCAAUCAAACCGGGAGAUAGCUGGUUCUCCCCGAAAGCUAUUUAGGUAGCGCCUCGUGAAUUCAUCUCCGGGGGUAGAGCACUGUUUCGGCAAGGGGGUCAUCCCGACUUACCAACCCGAUGCAAACUGCGAAUACCGGAGAAUGUUAUCACGGGAGACACACGGCGGGUGCUAACGUCCGUCGUGAAGAGGGAAACAACCCAGACCGCCAGCUAAGGUCCCAAAGUCAUGGUUAAGUGGGAAACGAUGUGGGAAGGCCCAGACAGCCAGGAUGUUGGCUUAGAAGCAGCCAUCAUUUAAAGAAAGCGUAAUAGCUCACUGGUCGAGUCGGCCUGCGCGGAAGAUGUAACGGGGCUAAACCAUGCACCGAAGCUGCGGCAGCGACGCUGAUGCGUUGUUGGGUA